UGGGAUGUGGCUCAGUGGUGAAGCACCUGCCUAGCAUGCAUGUGGCACUGGGUUUGAACCCCAUUUCAC
rnacentral:tRNA from 1 species